rnacentral:tRNA from 1 species
AUUUAUAUAGUUUAAACAAAACAAUACAUUUUCAUUGUAUAAAUAAUAUUUCCUUAUAUUUAUAAAUA